rnacentral:rRNA from 1 species
UCCAGACUCCUACGGGAGGCAGCAGUGAGGGAUAUUGGUCAAUGGGGGAAACCCUGAACCAGCAACGCCGCGUGAGGGAAGUCGGUUUUCGGAUUGUAAACCUCUGUCCUCUGUGAAGAUAAUGACGGUAGCAGAGGAGGAAGCUCUGGCUAACUACGUGCCAGCAGCCGCGGUAAUACGUAGGGAGCAAGCGUUGUCCGGAUUUACUGGGUGUAAAGGGUGUGUAGGCGGCCUUGCAAGUCAGAAGUGAAAUCCAUGGGCUUAACCCGUGAACUGCUUUUGAAACUGUAGGGCUUGAGUGAAGUAGAGGCAGGCGGAAUUCCCGGUGUAGCGGUGAAAUGCGUAGAGAUCGGGAGGAACACCAGUGGCGAAGGCGGCCUGCUGGGCUUUAACUGACGCUGAAGCACGAAAGCGUGGGUAGCAAACAGGAUUAGAUACCCGAGUAAA